GCUUGCUGUUUCGCUGACGAGUGGCGGACGGGUGAGUAAUGUCUGGGAAACUGCCUGAUGGAGGGGGAUAACUACUGGAAACGGUAGCUAAUACCGCAUAACGUCGCAAGACCAAAGAGGGGGACCUUCGGGCCUCUUGCCAUCGGAUGUGCCCAGAUGGGAUUAGCUAGUAGGUGGGGUAACGGCUCACCUAGGCGACGAUCCCUAGCUGGUCUGAGAGGAUGACCAGCCACACUGGAACUGAGACACGGUCCAGACUCCUACGGGAGGCAGCAGUGGGGAAUAUUGCACAAUGGGCGCAAGCCUGAUGCAGCCAUGCCGCGUGUAUGAAGAAGGCCUUCGGGUUGUAAAGUACUUUCAGCGGGGAGGAAGGGAGUAAAGUUAAUACCUUUGCUCAUUGACGUUACCCGCAGAAGAAGCACCGGCUAACUCCGUGCCAGCAGCCGCGGUAAUACGGAGGGUGCAAGCGUUAAUCGGAAUUACUGGGCGUAAAGCGCACGCAGGCGGUUUGUUAAGUCAGAUGUGAAAUCCCCGGGCUCAACCUGGGAACUGCAUCUGAUACUGGCAAGCUUGAGUCUCGUAGAGGGGGGUAGAAUUCCAGGUGUAGCGGUGAAAUGCGUAGAGAUCUGGAGGAAUACCGGUGGCGAAGGCGGCCCCCUGGACGAAGACUGACGCUCAGGUGCGAAAGCGUGGGGAGCAAACAGGAUU
rnacentral:rRNA from 1 species